AGAGACGAGUCAGAGUUUGAUCCUGGCUCAGAUUGAACGCUGGCGGCAUGCUUUACACAUGCAAGUCGAACGGCAGCGCGGGGCAACCUGGCGGCGAGUGGCGAACGGGUGAGUAAUACAUCGGAACGUACCCAGAAUGGGGGAUAACGUAGCGAAAGUUACGCUAAUACCGCAUACGAUCUACGGAUGAAAGUGGGGGGACCUUCGGGCCUCAUGCUUUUGGAGCGGCCGAUGUCUGAUUAGCUAGUUGGUGAGGUAAAGGCUCACCAAGGCGACGAUCAGUAGCUGGUCUGAGAGGACGACCAGCCACACUGGGACUGAGACACGGCCCAG
rnacentral:rRNA from 1 species